rnacentral:rRNA from 1 species
UGGGGAAUUUUGGACAAUGGGGGAAACCCUGAUCCAGCCAUCCCGCGUGUGCGAUGAAGGCCUUCGGGUUGUAAAGCACUUCUGGCAGGAAAGAAACGUCAUGGGUUAAUACCCCGUGAAACUGACGGUACCUGCAGAAUAAGCACCGGCUAACUACGUGCCAGCAGCCGCGGUAAUACGUAGGGUGCAAGCGUUAAUCGGAAUUACUGGGCGUAAAGCGUGCGCAGGCGGUUCGGAAAGAAAGAUGUGAAAUCCCAGAGCUCAACUUUGGAACUGCAUUUUUAACUACCGGGCUAGAGUGUGUCAGAGAGAGGUGGAAUACCGCGUGUAGCAGUGAAAUGCGUUGAUAUGCGGAAGAACACCGGUGGCGAAGGCAGCCUCCUGGGAUAACGCUGACGCUGAUGCACGAAAACGUGGGGGGCAAACAGG